rnacentral:rRNA from 1 species
UACGUAGGAUGCAAGCGUUGUCCGGAAUUACUGGGCGUAAAGGGCUUGUAGGCGGCCAACUAAGUCAGACGUGAAAUCCCUCGGCUUAACCGGGGAACUGCGUCUGAUACUGGAUGGCUUGAGUUCGGGAGAGGGAUGCGGAAUUCCAGGUGUAGCGGUGAAAUGCGUAGAUAUCUGGAGGAACACCGGUGGCGAAGGCGGCAUCCUGGACCGGCAUUGACGCUGAUGAGCGAAAGCUAGGGGAGCAAACGGG